rnacentral:misc_RNA from 1 species
UCAAACUUGGUCAUUUAGAGGAAGUAAAAGUCGUAACAAGGUUUCCGUAGGUGAACCUGCGGAAGGAUCAUUAAACGACCAGGAAAACUUCGGUUGACCUGAUUAACGGGGGCGCUUGCGUCCUUUCCGUUACCCUUUGCUUAUGCGUACCUUUUGUUGCUUCCUCGGCGGGGACGCCCGCCGGUGGACAGCCCUUUCGAACCCUUUUGCAGUUGCAAUCAACUUCUGAUAUCGACAUAAUAUAGUCACAACUUUCAACAACGGAUCUCUUGGUUCUGGCAUCGAUGAAGAACGCAGC